UGCCAGCCGCCGCGGUAAUACGGAGGGUGCAAGCGUUAAUCGGAAUUACUGGGCGUAAAGCGCGCGUAGGUGGUUUGAUAAGUCAGAUGUGAAAGCCCCGGGCUUAACCUGGGAACUGCAUUUGAAACUGUCAAACUAGGGUGUAGUAGAGGGAAGUGGAAUUCCGAGUGUAGCGGUGAAAUGCGUAGAUAUUCGGAGGAACACCAGUGGCGAAGGCGACUUCCUGGACUAACACUGACACUGAGGUGCGAAAGCGUGGGGAGCAAACAGGAUUAGAUA
rnacentral:rRNA from 1 species